GAUGAACGCUGGCGGCGUGCUUAACACAUGCCAGUCGAACGGAAAGGCUCCUGCUUGCAGGGGUACUCGAGUGGCGAACGGGUGAGUAACACGUGGGUGAUCUGCCCUGCACUUCGGGAUAAGCCUGGGAAACUGGGUCUAAUACCGGAUAGGACGAUGGUUUGGAUGCCAUUGUGGAAAGUUUUUCGGUGUGGGAUGAGCUCGCGGCCUAUCAGCUUGUUGGUGGGGUAAUGGCCUACCAAGGCGUCGACGGGUAGCCGGCCUGAGAGGGUGUACGGCCACAUUGGGACUGAGAUACGGCCCAGACUCCUACGGGAGGCAGCAGUGGGGAAUAUUGCACAAUGGGCGCAAGCCUGAUGCAGCGACGCCGCGUGGGGGGUGACGGCCUUCGGGUUGUAAACUCCUUUCGCUAGGGACGAAGCGCAAGUGACGGUACCUGGAGAAGAAGCACCGGCUAACUACGUG
rnacentral:rRNA from 1 species